rnacentral:rRNA from 1 species
UGGGGAAUCUUGGACAAUGGGCGCAAGCCUGAUCCAGCCAUGCCGCGUGAGUGAUGAAGGCCUUAGGGUUGUAAAACUCUUUCGCCGAGGACGAUAAUGACGGUACUCGGAGAAGAAGCUCCGGCUAACUUCGUGCCAGCAGCCGCGGUAAUACGAAGGGGGCUAGCGUUGUUCGGAUUUACUGGGCGUAAAGCGCGUGUAGGCGGGUCGUUAAGUUGGGGGUGAAAUCCCGAGGCUCAACCUCGGAGCUGCCUCCAAAACUGGCGACCUGGAGCAAGAUAGAGGCGAGUGGAAUUCCGAGUGUAGAGGUGAAAUUCGUAGAUAUUCGGAGGAACACCAGUGGCGAAGGCGACUCGCUGGAUCUUUGCUGACGCUGAGACGCGAAAGCGUGGGGAGCAAACAGGAUUAGAUACCCUCGUAGUCCCUGAGCGGGCUGGCAAGGCGCAU